GGGCAAGGAAGCUCAUCAGCGAGGCCUGCAUGCUGAGUGGUCAUCACUCCAAGGCCCCUGGCAAGGUCUGAGACUACAGCCUCCAGAGGCCCUAAUGGGACCCUCUCCAAGUGGGAAAGUGAGUUCCCAGAGAAUAGGGCUCCAUGCAUGGACAGACUGGACAGGAGAGGACACAAGUGGCGGAUGCCUCCCUUGCCAGUGAUUGGAACAGACUCACAGUCAGCGCAUAAGCGAGUUCAAUGGCUGAGGUGAGGUACCUUCUGGACCUCAUAACCCAAUUCAGACUACUCUCCCCUGCCC
ensembl:ribozyme RNaseP_nuc Nuclear RNase P